rnacentral:lncRNA from 1 species
GGAGUGUUGAAGACGCCAGUACAGUAGCAGCUGUGACACCUCAGGGCAAUGGAAGAGAGAAAAAGGGAAAAUUUUAAAGACGUAUUCAUAUUGCAUGAAUCUCCUUCACGGUGUUAGAAAAUGCAAAGGGCUCGAGUUCUUCAGACGUCACUUUCUGGUGGCUGAGCGCAGUUUCUGUGAUGGUGGCAGCCCUUUGCAACAGGAUUGGUCGCCCAGGGUGACCGACGCUGGAAAGGCAGCUCUUUCAGAGGAAGAGGUGAGGAGACUGGCCGAGGGAAGGAGAGCGGAAGAGGGAUGACCUUGGGACGUGCACACAGCAGCCGGCCAGCCAGCGCCCUUUCCCACGAUGGACGCCCGUCUAAGAUCUGUCUGCCUCCUGGGUCCCCUUGAAGAAGUGACUGCCUAGAUUGCAUUCAGACUAGCAAAGGAUGUUGCUUCCUCAUCCGUGGAGGUUUAAAGUCGAGUGGUCUUACGUCUCACGGUAUCUGCACAGCCCUGCUCCUUCGGCUUCUGUUGAAGGGACGAUGCUUGAAUGGCGGGUGAUUGCUCCUACCUUCAGAUCCGCUCUCCAUCCCUUCCACCCUGGAAACUAACUUCCAGGGACUCUCUCAGUGGCUUCCUUGCCUUUCAG